AGAAUCAACGCUGGCGGCGUGCCUAACACAUGCAAGUCGAUUGAGAAAGUGGAGCAAUCCAUGAGUAAAGAGGCGCACGGGUGAGUAACACGUGACUAACCUACCCUCGAGUGGGGAAUAAACCUGGGGAAACCCGGGCUAAUACCGCAUAAUACCUACGGGUCAAAGGAGCAAUUCGCUUGAGGAGGGGUCGCGGCAGAUUAGUUAGUUGGCGGGGUAAUGGCCCACCAAGACGAUGAUCUGUA
rnacentral:rRNA from 1 species